rnacentral:rRNA from 1 species
AGUGAACGCUGGCGGUAGGCCUAACACAUGCAAGUCGAACGGCAGCACAGUAAGAGCUUGCUCUUACGGGUGGCGAGUGGCGGACGGGUGAGGAAUACAUCGGAAUCUACUUUUUCGUGGGGGAUAACGUAGGGAAACUUACGCUACUACCGCAUACGACCUACGGGUGAAAGCAGGGGAUCUUCGGACCUUGCGCGAUUGAAUGAGCCGAUGUCGGAUUAGCUAGUUGGCGGGGUAAAGGCCCACCAAGGCGACGAUCCGUAGCUGGUCUGAGAGGAUGAUCAGCCACACUGGAACUGAGACACGAUCCAGACUCCUACGGGAGGCAGCAGUGGGGAAUAUUGGACAAUGGGCGCAAGCCUGAUCCAGCAAUACCGCGUGGGUGAAGAAGGCCUUCGGGUUGUAAAGCCCUUUUGUUGGGAAAGAAAAGCAGCAGGUUAAUACCCCGCUGUUCUGACGGUACCCAAAGAAUAAGCACCGGCUAACUUCGUG